GGAGAAAUGGCAGAGCUGGCCGAAUGCGCACCCCUGCUAAGGGUGUAUACCUCCGGGUAUCGAGGGUUCGAAUCCCUCUUUCUCCG
rnacentral:tRNA from 1 species